GAUGAACGCUGGCGGCGUGCUUAACACAUGCAAGUCGAACGGAAAGGCUCCUGCUUGCAGGGGUACUCGAGUGGCGAACGGGUGAGUAACACGUGGGUGAUCUGCCCUGCACUUCGGGAUAAGCCUGGGAAACUGGGUCUAAUACCGGAUAGGACGAUGGUUUGGAUGCCAUUGUGGAAAGUUUUUCGGUGUGGGAUGAGCUCGCGGCCUAUCAGCUUGUUGGUGGGGUAAUGGCCUACCAAGGCGUCGACGGGUAGCCGGCCUGAGAGGGUGUACGGCCACAGUGGGACUGAGAUACGGCCCAGACGCCUACGGGAGGCAGGAGUGGGGAAUAUUGCACAAUGGGCGCAAGCCUGAUGCAGCGACGCCGGGUGGGGGAUGACGGCCUUCGGGUUGUAAACUCCUUUCGCUAGGGACGAAGCGCAAGUGACGGUACCUGGAGAAGAAGCACCGGCUAACUACGU
rnacentral:rRNA from 1 species